AUGAACGCUGGCGGCAGGCUUAACACAUGCAAGUCGAACGAGCCUUCGGGUUAGUGGCGGACGGGUGACACAGGCGUGGGAAUCUGCAUUUUGGCGGGGAGUGGCGGACGCACUCGGCCGCCAAUGCCCCAGACGCCGGCAGGUGAAAUGAAUUUUCCCUGAGGAUGAGCCCGCGUCUGAUUAGCUAGUUGGUGUGGUAAUGGCGCACCAAGGCUUCGAUCAGUAGCUGGUCUGAGAGGAUGAUCAGCCACACUGGGACUGAGACACGGCCCAGACUCCUACGGGAGGCAGCAGUGGGGAAUUUUCCGCAAUGGGCGAAAGCCUGACGGAGCAAUGCCGCGUGAGGGAUGAAGGCCUCUGGGCUGUAAACCUCUUUUAUCAAGGAAGAAGAUCUGACGGUACUUGAUGAAUAAGCCACGGCUAAUUCCGUGCCAGCAGCCGCGGUAAUACGGGAGUGGCAAGCGUUAUCCGGAAUUAUUGGGCGUAAAGCGUCCGCAGGCGGCCUUGAAAGUCUGUCGUAAGCGUGUGGAGCUUAACUCCAUUUCGGCGAUGGAAACUGCAAGGCUAGAGUGUGGUAGGGGCAGAGGGAAUUUCCCGUGUAGCGGUGAAAUGCGUAGAUAUGGGGAAGAACACCAGUGGCGAAGGCGCUCUGCUGGGCCAUAACUGACGCUCAUGGACGAAAGCCAGGGGAGCGAAAGGGAU
rnacentral:rRNA from 1 species